GGGAUCCGAUUUUAGCAUGGAAUAAUAAAAUAGGACGUGUGGUUCUAUUUUGUUGGUUUCUAGGACCGCCGUAAUGAUUAAUAGGGACAGUCGGGGGCAUCAGUAUUCAAUUGUCAGAGGUGAAAUUCUUGGAUCUAUUGAAGACUAACUACUGCGAAAGCAUUUGCCAAGGAUGUUUUCAUUGAUAAGAAACGAAAGUUAGGGGAUCGAAGACGAUCAGAUACCGUCGUAGUCUUAACUAUAAACUAUGCCGACUAGGGAUCGGACGAUGUUAUCUUUUGACGCGUUCGGCACCUUUCGAGAAAUCAAAGUGCUUGGGCUCCAGGGGGAGUAUGGUCGCAAGGCUGAAACUUAAAGAAAUUGACGGAAGGGCACCACCAGGGGUGGAACCUGCGGCUUAAUUUGACUCAACACGGGGAAACUCACCAGGUCCAGAAAUCUAGA
rnacentral:rRNA from 1 species